rnacentral:rRNA from 1 species
UCCAGACUCCUACGGGAGGCAGCAGUGAGGAAUAUUGGUCAAUGGGCGGAAGCCUGAACCAGCCAAGUCGCGUGAGGGAAGAAGGCCCUGCGGGUCGCAGACCUCUUUGGACGGGGAGCAAGGCCGCCGACGUGUCGGCGGAAGGAGAGUACCCGUAGAACAAGCAUCGGCUAACUCCGUGCCAGCAGCCGCGGUAAUACGGAGGAUGCGAGCGUUAUCCGGAUUUAUUGGGUUUAAAGGGUGCGUAGGCGGAACAUUAAGUCAGCGGUAAAAUCGAGGGGCUCAACCCCUUUAAGCCGUUGAAACUGGUCUUCUUGAGUGAGCGAGAAGUAUGCGGAAUGCGUGGUGUAGCGGUGAAAUGCAUAGAUAUCACGCAGAACUCCGAUUGCGAAGGCAGCAUACCGGCGCUCAACUGACGCUGAGGCACGAAAGCGUGGGGAUCGAACAGGAUUAGAUACCCCAGUA